GUACACUCUGAACAACCGGAACCACGCUGAACGUGACCGAAACAUUCAAAAACGACCCAAAACGAGACUCUUGGUAGCGGUAUAAAAUGAAAGCAGGUGAUUCGGUUCAUUUACGUUAUACCAAUACACGCGCCAUCUUUUAACGGCGAGAAAAAGUGGUACGGUCGAACACGCCUGCUUGCUGAUGGUGGGUCGCAUGUCUGUCUGCUGUCUUGAUAGUAAGGCAUGGUUCAUCUAAUGUUCACGAACGUUUAAUAACGUUUCCAGAUGCGGUUAAGCAAGGUGACGAAAGACGGUCAUAACUAUCGCUGGCAUUGGUGGAUUUGUGUUUGCGAAGAAUCUUAUUGACAAGCAACGUUAUGAAGCUAUGAAAGUGCGGGAACGUAUGAAAGCAGCACCAAGGGGAGCAGUCUAGCCUGAGGUCGAGGU